UACGGAGGGGGCUAGCGUUGUUCGGAAUUACUGGGCGUAAAGCGCACGUAGGCGGCUUUUUAAGUCAGGGGUGAAAUCCCGGGGCUCAACCCCGGAACUGCCCUUGAAACUGGGAAGCUAGAAUCUUGGAGAGGCGAGUGGAAUUCCGAGUGUAGAGGUGAAAUUCGUAGAUAUUCGGAAGAACACAAGUGGCGAAGGCGACUCGCUGGACAAGUAUUGACGCUGAGGUGCGAAAGCGUGGGGAGCAAACAGG
rnacentral:rRNA from 1 species